GAUGAACGCUAGCGGCAGGCCUAAUACAUGCAAGUCAAACGGGUAGCAAUACCAGUGGCGUAAGGGUGCGUAACGCGUAUGCAACCUACCUGUCACAGGAGGACAACAGCGGGAAACUGCUGCUAAUACUCCGCAUUACUUUGAUGCGGCAUCGUGUUGAAGUUAAAGAAGCAAGUUGGUGAGAGAUGGACAUGCGUUCGAUUAGCUAGUUGGUGCGGGUAACGGCCCACCAAGGCGACUAUCGAUAGGAGCUCUGAGAGGAGAAUCCCCCACACUGGCACUGAGAUACGGGCCAGACUCCUACGGGAGGCAGCAGUAGGGAAUAUUGGGCAAUGGAGGGAACUCUGACCCAGCCAUGCCGCGUGCAGGAAGAAGGCCCUCUGGGUUGUAAACUGCUUUUGAUAGGGAAGAAAGAGGUUAUGCGUAACCAGUUGACGGUACCUAUCGAAUAAGCACCGGCUAACUACGUGCCAGCCGCCGCGGUAAAAC
rnacentral:rRNA from 1 species